AUUGAACGCUGGCGGCAGGCCUAACACAUGCAAGUCGAGCGGAUGAAGGGAGCUUGCUCCUGGAUUCAGCGGCGGACGGGUGAGUAAUGCCUAGGAAUCUGCCUGGUAGUGGGGGAUAACGUCCGGAAACGGGCGCUAAUACCGCAUACGUCCUGAGGCAGAAAGUGGGGGAUCUUCGGACCUCACGCUAUCAGAUGAGCCUAGGUCGGAUUAGCUAGUUGGUGGGGUAAAGGCCUACCAAGGCGACGAUCCGUAACUGGUCUGAGAGGAUGAUCAGUCACACUGGAACUGAGACACGGUCCAGACUCCUACGGGAGGCAGCAGUGGGGAAUAUUGGACAAUGGGCGAAAGCCUGAUCCAGCCAUGCCGCGUGUGCGAAGAAGGUCUUCGGAUUGUAAAGCACUUUAAGUUGGGAGGAAGGGCAGUAAGUUAAUACCUUGCUGUUUUGACGUUACCAACAGAAUAAGCACCGGCUAACUUCGUG
rnacentral:rRNA from 1 species